GGGGUGCACCCCCCUCCCUGGAGCUCUGGCUGCGUGCUGGCUCCCAGAAGAGGAACCUGCUGCAGGCGCCGGCGCGGGCGGCGAGGACGACCUGUUUUUCUGACCCAGCCCGGAAGCGCUGGUGCAGGCCUUGAGCUUCCUUUUUUCUUCUCGCUGUGGAAAUUGCCUGGAAAGCUAUGAACUGUUGGUUCUUGAAUCAGUUGGCUGCCCCGGAUGUCUGAAUCCCUUGGAAGGAACCUGGAGGAGUUGGCUGAUGGGCUCCAGGUGCAUGCCAGGCUGUGGAUCUGCCGAGCUUCCUAGUGACCUGGAGUCUGAGCUGCAACUAUGUUCUGUUCUAAUUUCUGUGUCUCUGUAUUCUUUGUAAUUGGGCCACGCUCUUAGACAGCUAGAGCAAUUAAUGACCUUGAGAAAUGAUCCCAGCGCUGAAUGCAGAAUCCUGCUCUUUUGAAGUCAGCCACUUUCUUUGUGGGUCUAAACGUGUUUGUGUUUUCCCCUCUUGGGCAUGUGCCUCCUCCUUCAGCUUUGAUGCUGCCUCUAUAACAACAGGGUUUAGAAUUAUUAAUUCCUCUGCACAGCAAGGUGCAGUGUUAUUAUACAAAAAGGGGAAAAUAUAAUUGCUAUCUUGAGUAAUCAUUUUCUGAAGGCUGAAAGUGUAACCUUUAAUUAAUAUUUCAUCUGCAGCCAGGGUGGGUAACUUGAACAGGGCCUAAAAAUAUUCCUGUCCCAGUGCAUGGAGAAAUCAUGAACUGUGCGACAUGGAGCCAGUGUGUGCUAUUGAAUUGUUGGCAAUUAUUUCUAAAAUUAAAAUGUUUAACCACAUUAACCCAUAAUAAAAUGGGGGGAGAGCUAUA
rnacentral:lncRNA from 1 species